AGAGUUUGAUCCUGGCUCAGGACGAACGCUGACGGUGUGCUUUAGGCAUGCAAGUCGAACGAGAAAGCCCUUCGGGGUGAGUAAAGUGGCGAACGGGUGAGUAACACGUGGGCAACCUGCCCCUCGCAGGGGGACAACCGGAGGAAACUCCGGCUAAUACCCCGUACGUUCCCAGGGUCGCAUGGCCUUGGGAGGAAAGGUAGCUUCGGCCAUCCGGCGAGGGAUGGGCCCGCGGUGCAUUAGCUAGUUGGUGGGGUAACGGCUCACCAAGGCGACGAUGCAUAGCUGGUCUGAGAGGGCGACCGGCCACACUGGGACUGAGACACGGCCCAGACUCCUACGGGAGGCAGCAGUGGGGAAUAUUGCACAAUGGGCGAAAGCCUGAUGCAGCGACGCCGCGUGAGGGAUGACGGCCUUCGGGUUGUAAACCUCUUUCAGCAGGGAAGAAGCGAAAGUGACGGUACCUGCAGAAGAAGGUCCGGCCAACUACGUGCCAGCAGCCGCGGUAAUACGUAGGGACCGAGCGUUGUCCGGAUUCAUUGGGCGUAAAGAGCUCGUAGGCGGCCACUCAAGUCGAAUGUGAAACCUCGAGGCUCAACCUCGAGCCUGCAUUCGAUACUGGGCGGCUAGAGUCUGGUAGGGGGAUCUGGAAUUCCUGGUGUAGCGGUGGAAUGCGCAGAUAUCAGGAGGAACACCGGUGGCGAAGGCGGGAUCCUGGGCCAGUACUGACGCUGAGGAGCGAAAGCGUGGGGAGCAAACAGGAUUAGAUACCCUGGUAGUCCACGCCGUAAACGAUGGGCGCUAGGUGUGGGAGGUCAUCGACUCCUUCCGUGCCGCAGCUAACGCAUUAAGCGCCCCGCCUGGGGAGUACGGCCGCAAGGCUAAAACUCAAAGGAAUUGACGG
rnacentral:rRNA from 1 species